UGUGUGCUCCUCAAUGCCACCCAGAUCAUCGAGGGAGACCCAAAUCUUUAGGAGAGACCCAGGUCUUCCAGGGGAUUGUAGCUCAGGUGCUCACUGUGGCUCUUUCCAUCCAGCUCUGUGAAGCAGAUUACCUCGGGUUUGGAAAAAAGGCUUCUUGCGUGGUCCUUGAACUUCCCUUUGUCUUCUGUGGUUGAUUUAAAUUCUGAAAAGGGUCAGGUAGUUCGUGCUGCACAUCCCAUAAUUAUUGAUAAUUGAGGCAUUCUUUGGCUAGGAGACAUUGAUGUUAUAUGGGGUGUUGAAGAGCAGUGUCUUUCAUUUGAAGAAAUGCUGAUAGUUGUAGCAGUGAGGAAGGAUCUGCCUGUUUGAAAUACUUAGGAAAUGAAACUAGUGGGAAAUAGCUGAAAGAGCAUGUGAAAGGAGGAGUUUUAUUUUAGGAAGUGAGUAAGAGGAAAUGACUUCAGGUUGGCAUCACUGAAUGUAAUCCGUGUGUCGUGAGGUUUUGUUGUUGGUUUUCUUUUUUUCUAAACAGCUUGCUUGGCUCUCUCACAGCAACUUUAACACUUUUCCUCAUAUAUUGUAGCAUGUGGGCAUUUUGAAGGCAAGAAGAUUGCUUAUGACAGCUGCCAGGACUGAGGAGAAGGGUCACAUCCGUGAAGGAGAUGCUCUGUUUGCUUUUGUAGGUUAUGGUGGGGGUUCUGGGGUGGAGAUGAAGAAGUGGAGACCUGAGGCAGGAGAACUUACAAGUGACUGAGUGGUGGGAGAGAGCCUCCAGUGCGUUUGCAAGUAAAUAGUUAUCCAUUCAGUGUGUUGAUUCACACUGAAGACUUCUGCAGCUGUUUUUCAUCAAUUGCAAUGCAGAGCUUGCUCUGUCGUUGUGCGUAUAAAACAUGCCUAUGUUGUGCUCAGGUACCAUUUUUUACUCAUUACUGGAUAAGUCAUAGUAAGUGGGAGAUCUGUCACCUGUUUCUGUUGUAAUUUGUAAGGGUCCUUAUAUAAGUUCUUGAAGUUAACCUGCUGUCCAGGUUGAUGAUCUGAGCUGUAAAAUAAAAGCUUUACUAUUUCUCCUCCUUUAAAGGAGCUGCCAGUUUUUAGCUGCAUUUUAGCUGUAUAUAUUUACAGAUUGCUGGGCUGUAACAAAAAAAUAAAAAUUCUGCUAGUAUCUGUGAAGAAAUCUAUUUAAGAAAAAGUACAAAACAGUAAAGCUCUGCAACACCUCUGGGAGUAGUUUGUAGCUAAAACACUUGUUUGACUUGCUGUGUGACACAGAUAGCCAACUUGUAUUCUAGUUCUUAAACUGAGUAUGACUUAGUGAUUGUGAGUGCCUUAACUUGAGAACUUAAGAAGGUUUUAUUGGUUUUUUUUUCCUCCAUAUUUUUUUCUGCUUAUGAUAUGUGUUAAUUUCUUGUUUGAAUAGAGAAACAAGAGGUCAGCUGUCUGGGUUUAUUGGUAUGCUCCUCUAGACAUCUAGAAGAUUACCAUUUACCAGGGGGGAAAAUAAUUCAUAUUAAGGGAGCAAAAGAAAACCUGUACCAGUUCCUAACCCAUCUGAAAAGGCUUGUGCUGAUGGACCCAGCUGAUUUCCCACUGCAGCCUCUCACCGGCUUUUGAAAAUUGGUGAUAAUAAAGCAUAACAGCCAUGAUGUUAAAGGAGCUUCUGUUGAUGAAUCGCAGUGUCUUCGUGUUGGCCACUGCCCGUCUGAGCACUGGUUGAAUGGC